rnacentral:rRNA from 1 species
UACGAAGGGGGCGAGCGUUGUUCGGAUUUACUGGGCGUAAAGGGCGCGUAGGCGGUCGUGACAAGUCACUUGUGAAAUCCCUCGGCUUAACCGGGGAACUGCGUCUGAUACUGGAUGGCUUGAGUUUGGGAGAGGGACGCGGAAUUCCAGGUGUAGCGGUGAAAUGCGUAGAUAUCUGGAGGAACACCGGUGGCGAAGGCGGCGUCCUGGACCAACACUGACACUGAUGAGCGAAAGCCAGGGGAGCAAACGGG